rnacentral:ribozyme from 13 species
UUUCUCUCUUUCUCUCUUUCUCUCCUUCUCUCUUUCUCUCUUUCUCUCUUUCUCUCAAGGGUAUUUUUUUGAAGAAGAGGAGAGAAUGAAAUAUGAGCC